CCGCGCAUGGCUCCGCUUUGCGAGCGCAGCCGGCCGCCUGAACGGAAAGGCCACCGAGGAACACCCCCUCCUCCUUCCCAAGUGUGGGCAGAAAGGAAAACGCUGACGGCCUCCUGGCCCCAAGUGUUGCCAGGACGUUCGGAAUUGAGCGAAACUGCCGAGAGCCCAGAGUCCCGCGGACAACAGGAUGUCCCUCCCCAGACCCCUCCUUUGCCAUCCCUUAAGGGCGGCUGGGCGCCCGGGCUCGCAAGGUGGUAUUUGAGCUUGCUGGUAGGAUGUAUCGAGUGCAUCCAGGAUUUUGUGGAAAGCAUCUGGCAGCCCUACUUCUCUCUGACAAAGAAAAUAAGGGAGUCCGGCUAACAGGUGUUCCCCCUUUAGGCUGUGGCUGCCAGGAAACUUGGAGCCAGGUUCAGAGCCCAGUGGCGUCAGCCGGCUCAGCUUGAGCCCUGGUGGGGCUUUCCUUCUCUGAUGCUUAUUCUGGUGUUUAUCCAAUUGUCAGUUUAAAAAUUAUGUUCCCAAGCCAUUUAGCACCUCUGGAGUGCAAAGCACUGUCUCUGCGAAAAGAUACACACGCGGCAAAGCCCAAGCUUAUCGAUCUAGAGAGAACUGAGACUGUGCCAGCCAACCUGAUUGUAGUUCGGAUAGACUGUGCGAAGGGAUUUUGCUGUUGGCUGUGAGUUCAAGUGGAGAGAGAAAGGAGAUGGAGAGAAAUUGGUGGCUGAACAGCCGCAGCACCAGGGUGUAUGGACUCAUUCUUGAACAUAGGAAGACAGCCCUGGAGCUUCCAGUGCAAAAAAGGUUACCAAGAUAGUAAAGUCAGGUAUUAUCACUAACAUGACUGCGUUUGUACUUACAGGUUAGGGACAGUUGAGUUACAUCCAGAAUACAUGAGAAAGUGACAAGUGCAAGGACUGAAGUGAUUCACUAUGACUUCAAAUCGGGGCAGGAGGCGACAUUGCAUUGGGUCUUAACUGGGAAGAAUGGGGCUCUGCAGUAUGCAACAUGCUCUUAGUCCAGAGGGAUUGUGAUUGAAACCAUACCUCCCCUGCCCCUGGUUGGGAGAUUUUCGUGGAAAAUGAACAUAUUUUAUUAGAAAAUAAUGAAGACUUCCUGGAGCAGCAUGGACGAACAUGCCCUAGUAUUGACCUGACAUCCGACGUAAAGGGGAAGGGAAUGUAACCUCUGGCUUGAGAUGUGCACAAAGUCUAAGAUCAAAACAACAAAAAAAGUCAGAUAAAGGAGAAAAAAUAAGACAGUAUUGGAGAAGAGCUCAAUGGGACAAAGGCCAAACUGGUGAAAGUGAUUCAAUGGAGAAUCCCAGCACGGAAAAAUUCUUGGGCCUCCAAAAACCAAUCAGAGGCCGGAGUGGACUAACGAUGGCUGUGAAAUUUGUGUCACCCUCCUCGUCAAGAAGGGGAGUUUGUCAUCCCCUAAAUUUGCAAGAAGAAUCACAACCCCAAUGAUCAGGGCUUAGAGGGAAGUUCAGAUCAAUAAAGCAAACUAUAUAGAAGAGACUUUCAUUUUAAGCCUGUGUCAAGCUCCCUGAUCUGACACUUAAAAUUUCCCACAAUUACAGACUGAUGGUGCCCCAAAUUUCCCUCACUUCAUGGCAUAUAUUUAUAUAAUGAAGCAGAGAAAAUGUUAUUCUCUCAGAAGCUCAUGCUGGACAUUGCACUUAUCAUAUAAUUAAUAAAUGAAUGAAUGAAUGAAUAAAUAAAUAAAAUUACUGAAGUUA